rnacentral:rRNA from 1 species
UACGUAGGGGGCUAGCGUUGUCCCGGAUUUAUUGGGCGUAAAGAGCGUGUAGGCGGCCCGAUAAGUCCGCUGUGAAAGUCCAGGGCUCAACCCUGGGAUGCCGGUGGAUACUGUCGGGCUCGAGUCCGGAAGAGGAGUGUGGAAUUCCUGGUGUAGCGGUGAAUGCGUAGAUAUCAUGAGGAAUACCAGAGCGAAGGCGGCUACCUGGACAAUUGCUGACGCUCAGGCACGAAAGCGUGGGGAGCAAAAGGG